UACGUAGGGUGCGAGCGUUAAUCGGGAUUACUGGGCGUAAAGCGUGCGCAGGCGGUUCGCUAAGACCGAUGUGAAAUCCCCGGGCUUAACCUGGGAACUGCAUUGGUGACUGGCGGGCUAGAGUAUGGCAGAGGGGGGUAGAAUUCCACGUGUAGCAGUGAAAUGCGUAGAGAUGUGGAGGAAUACCGAUGGCGAAGGCAGCCCCCUGGGCCAAUACUGACGCUCAUGCACGAAAGCGUGGGGAGCAAACAGG
rnacentral:rRNA from 1 species